rnacentral:rRNA from 1 species
CUNCGGGAGGCAGCAGUAGGGAAUCUUCCGCAAUGGACGAAAGUCUGACGGAGCAACGCCGCGUGAGUGAUGAAGGUUUUCGGAUGUGUAAAGCUCUGUUGUUAGGGAAGAACAAGUGCCGUUCGAAUAGGGCGGUACCUUGACGGUACCUAACCAGAAAGCCACGGCUAACUACGUGCCAGCAGCCGCGGUAAUACGUAGGUGGCAAGCGUUGUCCGGAAUUAUUGGGCGUAAAGGGCUCGCAGGCGGUUUCUUAAGUCUGAUGUGAAAGCCCCCGGCUCAACCGGGGAGGGUCAUUGGAAACUGGGGAACUUGAGUGCAGAAGAGGAGAGUGGAAUUCCACGUGUAGCGGUGAAAUGCGUAGAGAUGUGGAGGAACACCAGUGGCGAAGGCGACUCUCUGGUCUGUAACUGACGCUGAGGAGCGAAAGCGUGGGGAGCGAACAGGAUUAGAUACCCUGGUAGUCCACGCCGUAAACGAUGAGUGCUAAGUGUUAGGGGGUUUCCGCCCCUUAGUGCUGCAGNAUAACGCNUUAAGCACUCCGCCUGGGGAGUACGGUCGCAGGACUGAAACUCAAAGGAAUUGACGGGGGCCCGCACAAG